rnacentral:rRNA from 1 species
GAUGAACGCUGACAGAAUGCUUAACACAUGCAAGUCUUUGGCAAAUCUGUGCUUGCACAGCAUAGCCAAGGCGGACGGGUGAGUAACGCGUAAAGAACUUGCCCUGCAGUCUGGGAUAACAGACGGAAACGACUGAUAAAACCUGAUAUAAUCAAGCCCACGCAUGUGGUGCUUGAUGAGAAGAAAUGCUGCAGGAGAGCUUUGCGUCCUAUUAGCUUGUUGGUGGGGUAAUGGCCCACCAAGGCAAUGAUAGGUAGCCGGCCUGAGAGGGUGACCGGCCACAAGGGGACUGAGAUACGGCCCUUACUCCUACGGGAGGCAGCAGUGGGGAAUAUUGGACAAUGGGGGCAACCCUGAUCCAGCAAUUCUGUGUGCACGAAGAAGGUUUUCGGAUUGUAAAGUGCUUUCAGCAGGGAAGAAGAAAAUGACUGACCUGCAGAAGAGCGCGCAA